rnacentral:rRNA from 1 species
CGGGAAACUGGGAAUAAUUCCGGAUAACGCACAAUAUGCUGGAAUGCUUUAUGCGUAAAAUGGAUUCGUCUGCCCAAGGAUGGGUCUGCGGCCUAUCAGGUAGUAGUGGGUGUAAUGUACCUACUAGCCAACAACGGGUACGGGUUGUGAGAGCAAGAGCCCGGAGAUGGAUUCUGAGACAUGAAUCCAGGCCCUACGGGGCGCAGCAGGCGCGAAAACUUUACAAUGCGGGAAACCGUGAUAAGGGGACACCGAGUGCCAGCAUCAUAUGCUGGCUGUCCAGGUGUGUAAAAUACACCUGUUAGCAAGGGCCGGGCAAGACCGGUGCCAGCCGCCGCGGUAACACCGGCGGCCCGAGUGGUGAUCGUGAUUAUUGGGUCUAAAGGGUCCGUAGCCGGUUUGGUCAGUCCUCCGGGAAAUCUGACGGCUUAACCGUUAGGCUUUCGGGGGAUACUGCCAGGCUUGGAACCGGGAGAGGUAAGAGGUACUACAGGGGUAGGAGUGAAAUCUUGUAAUCCCUGUGGGACCACCUGUGGCGAAGGCGUCUUACCAGAACGGGUUCGACGGUGAGGGACGAAAGCUGGGGGCACGAACCGGAUUAGAUACCCGGGUAGUCCCAGCCGUAAACGAUGCUCGCUAGGUGUCAGGCAUGGCGCGACCGUGUCUGGUGCCGCAGGGAAGCCGUGAAGCGAGCCACCUGGGAAGUACGGCCGCAAGGCUGAAACUUAAAGGAAUUGGCGGGGGAGCACAA